GAUAAAAAUAAUUUUUUUGCAGGCAGUUGGAUGGCAACCAUCAGGGGCCAGAUUAACACGAAAUGAGGAGGAUUCCGGAAGUUAACGCACAAAAGGAGGAUCAGGGCGCAGAUUUUCCGCCAGGAAGCGCUCGCCCCACACAAAAGCGAGAGAUGGGUUUCUCGCUAUAUUAUACUC
rnacentral:sRNA from 23 species